rnacentral:rRNA from 1 species
UCGGGAAUAUUGCGCAAUGGAGGAAACUCUGACGCAGUGACGCCGCGUGCAGGAAGAAGGUUUUCGGAUUGUAAACUGCUUUAGACAGGGAAGAAAGAAAUGACGGUACCUGUAGAAUAAGCUCCGGCUAACUACGUGCCAGCAGCCGCGGUAAUACGUAGGGAGCAAGCGUUAUCCGGAUUUAUUGGGUGUAAAGGGUGCGUAGACGGGUAUACAAGUUAGUAGUGAAAUCCCUCGGCUUAACUGAGGAACUGCUACUAAAACUAUAUAUCUUGAGUACUGGAGGGGAAAGCGGAAUUCCUA